rnacentral:rRNA from 1 species
UAAUACGGAGGGUGCAAGCGUUAAUCGGAAUUACUGGGCGUAAAGCGCGCGUAGGUGGCUUGAUAAGCCGGUUGUGAAAGCCCCGGGCUCAACCUGGGAACGGCAUCCGGAACUGUCAAGCUAGAGUGCAGGAGAGGAAGGUAGAAUUCCCGGUGUAGCGGUGAAAUGCGUAGAGAUCGGGAGGAAUACCAGUGGCGAAGGCGGCCUUCUGGACUGACACUGACACUGAGGUGCGAAAGCGUGGGUAGCAAACAGGAUUAGAUACCCUGGUAGUCCACGCCGUAAACGAUGUCGACCAGCCGUUGGGUGCCUAGCGCACUUUGUGGCGAAGUUAACGCGAUAAGUCGACCGCCUGGGGAGUACGGCCGCAAGGUUAAAACUCAAAUGAAUUGACGGGGGCCCGCACAAGCGGUGGAGCAUGUGGUUUAAUUCGAUGCAACGCGAAGAACCUUACCUACUCUUGACAUCCUGCGAAUUUGGUAGAGAUACCUUAGUGCCUUCGGGAACGCAGAGACAGGUGCUGCAUGGCUGUCGUCAGCUCGUGUUGUGAAAUGUUGGGUUAAGUCCCGUAACGAGCGCAACCCUUGUCCUUAUUUGCCAGCGCGUAAUGGCGGGAACUCUAAGGAGACUGCCGGUGACAAACCGGAGGAAGGUGGGGACGACGUCAAGUCAUCAUGGCCCUUACGAGUAGGGCUACACACGUGCUACAAUGGUCGGUACAAAGGGUUGCCAACUCGCGAGAGUGAGCCAAUCCCGAAAAGCCGAUCUCAGUCCGGAUCGGAGUCUGCAACUCGACUCCGUGAAGUCGGAAUCGCUAGUAAUCGUAGAUCAGAAUGCUACGGUGAAUACGUUCCCGGGCUCUGUACAC